UACAGAGGUCUCAAGCGUUGUUCGGAUUCAUUGGGCGUAAAGGGUGCGUAGGUGGCGCGGUAAGUCGGGUGUGAAAUUUCGGAGCUUAACUCCGAAACUGCAUUCGAUACUGCCGUGCUUGAGGACUGGAGAGGAGACUGGAAUUUACGGUGUAGCAGUGAAAUGCGUAGAGAUCAUAAGGAAGACCAGUGGCGAAGGCGGGUCUCUGGACAGUUCCUGACACUGAGGCACGAAGGCCAGGGGAGCAAACGGG
rnacentral:rRNA from 1 species